rnacentral:rRNA from 1 species
CGGCACGGGUGAGUAACACGUAUCCAACCUGCCGUCUACUCUUGGACAGCCUUCUGAAAGGAAGAUUAAUACAAGAUGGCAUCAUGAGUUCACAUGUUCACAUGAUUAAAGGUAUUCCGGUAGACGAUGGGGAUGCGUUCCAUUAGAUAGUAGGCGGGGUAACGGCCCACCUAGUCUUCGAUGGAUAGGGGUUCUGAGAGGAAGGUCCCCCACAUUGGAACUGAGACACGGUCCAA